AUUUGUCUGCGUUAUUUUUUUUUUAUUAUUAUUAUUUAUAGUGCCUUAUAUUGAGUAAGAAGGUGAAAAGAUUUUCUAAAACCUGAUCAAAUCAGAUUAUAGCUAUUAACACAUGUAAAUUUAAGUCACACCUCAUAUAGGAACCUCAAUUCCCUGAAUUUGAGCAGCCAAAGAGUUAGUGAAAGACCAAAGAAACAUUUAUAAUUUUUAAUGUUCAUUGGUGCAGUUUUUUUUUCAACAUGAAAUGUCAGUAUCUCUGUACAUUUGUUUGUGUGUGUGUGUGUUCAAAAAGUGACUGUGCACAUGAAGCAGUUUAGGCUAUUUCACAGACUGUGGAUAGUGACUGUGAAUUCAAAGAUGGUAGUGUCAGGUCAACUUCCAUGCUCCAAGAUCUGGAGUGGUUUGAGCUAUGGACGUAUGUGCUAUUCUAUACCCCUUCACCUACACCUACACCUAUGCCCAAUGCGUAAUUUGAGCCGGAUCCUGUUCUGAAAAAUGUCAGAUUUUGGAUUUUUGCAUUCCGGUAAUUGUUUUUAAGGGUCCGGCAUUAGAUUGUGACAGUACAUGCGUGCAUAUGAGAACGAGCGCAGCUUUAUAUAUUUGGAGGUUAUGUAUCAGGCCCGGUUCUUGAUUUUUAUAGAAGGGUGGGCUGGCAGAUAUCCUGGGUGGGCAUAUUUAGAUGUCAUAUUACAUAUAGUCUAUAAGAUAUGUAUACUGUAGAUAUUGCUAUAUUAACUAUAUAAACCAUAUUACAGUAUAUGUACACUUUAAAGUGUAGCCUAGAAAAAUAGCAUGCACUUUCACAGCAAAAUAAACUUUUUUUUUCUUUAUUGAAUAGUAAAAAAUAAAAUAAAAUUGGUCUCUUUCUCUGGAUCAUUGUUUCUACACUGGUGACUCUUUUCAACUACUUUUUCAUUUGUAGAAAACAAGGCCGUAAUCCUGUCUAGAACAAUGGAGGGGCCAAUUGUUUUGAGGAAAAUGGGGGCGUAUUACAGAAAGAUCCUAACUUUAAAAUCUUAUCUGUUUGGCAACUAUUUGAAAGCUAACGGAAAAACUGCUUGCGCUGUCCAACAAUACGCCCCCAGCAUUUAACUUAAAAGUUAAGAAUAUUUUGUAUUCCUCAAAAACAUUUAAAAAAUAUACUUAUCUUUAUUCUUAAGAUUGUUCUUAAAUACAAAACUUGAGAAGAAUUCAAAUUCUUGAAAAUAAUCAUCUUAAAAAUCAUCUUAAAUUUAGGACAGCCCCAGACUUGUCUUAAAUCCCAAACAGUUAGAAUUAUUUAAAGAAUUUAUUGGGUUAUUUCAAAUUAAUUGUUAUAUUUAAGCAUUACAACAACAGCUACAUAUAACACAUAGUAGGACUAGGGAUGUGCACGAGUUUUCUUAUGAACUUGGUCAGCAGGUGAAUGUGCAGGUCUCCACGUGACAUUAUUACCGUGGGGUCAAGCUUUUUAUCAACAGCUGUUAUGCAGCUACAGUUAACACUUUGAGUCAAGCCACCAAACACAGCAUCAUAGACAAUUAUGGGUAAGUGGAGCAAAACACUGACUUUGUGGAACAUUUAUCAGACACAAAUUACUGUCUCACACACACAUCCAGGUGUUUACGGGAAAGCCGGAUAAAUCCAGGUGCUUCAGGAUUCAGCUUCUCCAGAGCAAAUAUGUUCAGUUCUCCUUUGGUGCUUUGCAGUUCAUUGAGUCUCUAGAUGCCCAUGUGUGUUUGUGUGUUUGAUUCUUUUCUUUUUUUGAAGACAAAACUGAGUUGUACUGUGUGUUGUGAUGCGUUCAUUCAUUGUGUGAUUCAUCAUAUUAUCUGUGUGAUUUAUUGUAGGUCGCACUCCAUUUUGAGCUCCCUGUUUCUGGUGAAGGCCCUAAUCCAAUACAGAAGUCUUGUUUUUACUGCCACACAGAAAAAAGGUUAACAAGACUAAACAUCUGUCUCUCAGCAUUGCAGAUCAUGAAUCACUCUUUUUCUGUCACAACCAUUCUAUUUAAACUUUCAUUUGUUAGAUGGAGCUAACAAAUGAUUCUGUCUGUGACUGCUGUGAUUCAGACUGCAACUAGACUAAAACCACACGAAUAACAUAUGAAGGGUUCGUAAGCAGUGAUCCUGUGACUUCUCCUUUCUCAACUUUGGCUUCCUCAACUCUGGACUCCACUCUCAUGGCUCAUAGAAAUGAGGACGUCAUGUGGUUUGAAGCCAAACUGGCCAGAGAGCCCCAGAGGUCCUACACCCACAAGGACUUUGUUGCUUCUGUUACACUGAUAUCUUCUGAGGAGGACCAUGAUAAGAGACCGCACACGUCUCAAAUCAGCACAGUGAAGCUCACAGAGGAGGAAAGAGAAGAGAAACAUGGGGAUGUUGAGAUUUUUAUUGCAAUCAGUAAGAGUAUUGUGGGAUCUGAAAGGCCAGAUUUAGACCCCAUGGAGCAGCUUGACGUUACAUCCUUGGGCUCGUCUGGAGACAGAAAAAUGCAGAACAUGAAUAAGGGUUCAGAUUACUCACUGAGGAAAGUUCAGAGAGUGGGAGGAGAAGUCCCUGAUAAGGACAAAAGGUUCCACAAAGACGUCAGUUAUGGUUAAUGAAUCCAUGGGGCAACAUUCCGAUAUGGAUGAAUCAACAUUGAGAGACUGGCAACUGGAUGAGGUGUUUCUGCCAUCCUUCAUUUUAGAGGAAAAGGAUACAGAAGAGGAAAAUUCUUCUGAAAAUAAAAGGGAAGGUUUGAAUUUCCAGUUAUUUUCACUGUUUGAAAAGAAACGAGAGUUUCCAGGAUCUGAUGAGCUGGUAGAGCAGGGUAUUGUGAGAAAAGUAGACCUUAAACAAGACACAAGAUAAUUAUUAUUUUUCUGAUGGAAUGGGAUUCUAUUUUAAGGACUUGUGAGAAAAUGUCUGUAUACUUUUGUUUGUUUUUUGAUGAAUCAACCAAAGAACCACGUAAUGCUUAAUAAUUAGAACCAGUACUGCAGGAAAUUAUUUUUCUUGUUAAUGCAUGGAUUGAAAUAUAUUAAAAGAGAUAUUAAAUUCCCUUUGUUA